GAUGAACGCUGGCGGCGUGCCUAAUACAUGCAAGCCGAGCGAACGGACGAGAAGCUUGCUUCCCUGAUGUUAGCGGCGGACGGGUGAGUAACACGUGGAUAACCUACCUAUAAGACUGGGAUAACUUCGGGAAACCGGAGCUAAUACCGGAUAAUAUUUUGAACCGCAUGGUUCAAAAGUGAAAGACGGUCUUGCUGUCACUUAUAGAUGGAUCCGCGCUGCAUUAGCUAGUUGGUAAGGUAACGGCUUACCAAGGCAACGAUGCAUAGCCGACCUGAGAGGGUGAUCGGCCACACUGGAACUGAGACACGGUCCAGACUCCUACGGGAGGCAGCAGUAGGGAAUCUUCCGCAAUGGGCGAAAGCCUGACGGAGCAACGCCGCGUGAGUGAUGAAGGUCUUCGGAUCGUAAAACCCUGUUAUUAGGGAAGAACAUAUGUGUAAGUAACUGUGCACAUCUUGACGGUACCUAAUCAGAAAGCCACGGCUAACUACGUG
rnacentral:rRNA from 1 species